rnacentral:misc_RNA from 1 species
GAUGAAGAACGCAGCGAAAUGCGAUACGUAAUGUGAAUUGCAGAAUUCAGUGAAUCAUCGAGUCUUUGAACGCACAUUGCGCCCGCCAGUAUUCUGGCGGGCAUGCCUGUUCGAGCGUCAUUUCAACCAUCAAGCCCCCGGCUUGUGUUGGGGACCUGCGGCUGCCGCAGGCCCUGAAAAGCAGUGGCGGGCUCGCUGUCACACCGAGCGUAGUAGCAUACAUCUCGCUCUGGGCGUGCUGCGGGUUCCGGCCGUUAAACCACCUUCAUAACCCAAGGUUGACCUCGGAUCAGGUAGGAAGACCCGCUGAACUUAAGCAUAUCAAUAAGCGGAGGA